GACGUAGGGCGCGAGCGUUGUCCGGAUUUAUUGGGCGUAAAGAGCUCGUAGGCGGUUUGUCGCGUCGUUCGUGAAAACUCACAGCUUAACUGUGAGCUUGCGGUCGAUACGGGCAGGCUAGAGUUCGGUAGGGGAGACUGGAAUUCCUGGUGUAGCGGUGAAAUGCGCAGAGUAUCAGGAGGAACACCGGUGGCGAAGGCGGCGAUCUGGGAAGAUACUGACGCUGAGGUGCGAAAGCGUGGGGAGCAAACAGG
rnacentral:rRNA from 1 species